UCUUUCUUUUUUUUUUUAAUUGAUUUAUAAAAUUUGUUAUAAAAAAGCCUCCGCCAUUCGGGAAGUCUAUGCAUUGACCCAAGAUAGUCUUGAAUAUAUAUACCAAAUAAAAUAACACAAAAUUAAUUAUUUUUUAAGUUAUUUAAUUUUAAAGUUGAAAAAGUGAUAAGAAACUCUUUUUUUUUGAAGAUGGCCCCCUUUAAAUGGCAUUCAAUUCUAAUAGUAUUGGUGUUUCGUUUUUAGAGUUUGUUUGUGAUGAUUAAUGUGCCACCACAUAAAUGUUGUAAAUAUUAAUGAAGCUAUGGCAUCAAUUAUAAUGUUGAGACAAAAAUGCCAAAUCUCAAGUUAAAUGGUUCAUCAAAGUCUGAAUCUGCUGUGAAUUAAAGUAAAUAUCAUGAAAUGUCAAAUCUUAAGAUAUGAAAUUUUUAAUGGAAUUUUGGUCCAUAAAAAUCCAAGUACCACAUAUUUUGAUAAAUAUAUUUCUAAGUAUCCUGCAUUUGGUUGUUGUUGUAAAUUUUCAUUGCGAUAUUCAUUAUUUUUUAGUUCACAAAGUUAUAAAAAGAUCCUUAACUCAAGUCUAUGUAACUAUGUUAAAACGGAUGCAAGCACUAAAGAAGACAUUAACGUUACAAAUUGAAGCAGAAAUUUAUAACGAAUCAUGUUGAUGAUUAGAUAUGAAUCGCAGGAAAGCACCAUUGUCGAAUGGUUAUGAAUCAAAUCUUUGUAUUAUAAUUGCGUAAAUAUAUUUUGAAAAUAAGCCUGUUUUUCAAAUUUGUUCAUAUUAAUUAAACUUGUCAAUAAUCACGUGUCCAAUACAUUUCAUUGUCCUUAAACUAAUGAAAAAUACGCCAAUUUUUAAGCAAAAAAUUACAGUCGAUUCUGCUAUAAACAACUUAAAUAAUUAAGAAGACGAGAUCUAAAAGGAUUUUUAUGGACUUUAAAUACGAAAAUCCAUAACAAUCCCAUGGGCAACCCAGUUAGUUAACAAAUACAAAAUCACACGUACGAUGUAAAAAUGACUAAUCGU